GACGAACGCUGGCGGCGUGCUUAACACAUGCAAGUCGAACGGAAAGGCCCUGCUUGCAGGGUACUCGAGUGGCGAACGGGUGAGUAACACGUUGGUGAUCUGCCCUGCACUUCGGGAUAAGCCUGGGAAACUGGGUCUAAUACCGGACAGGAGCCAUUUUUAGUGUGGUGGUUGGAAAGUUUUUUCGGUGUAGGAUGAGCUUGCGGCCUAUCAGCUUGUUGGUGGGGUAAUGGCCUACCAAGGCGGCGACGGGUAGCUGGAGCGGGAGGGUGGACAGACACACCGGGACUGAGAGAGGGCCACGACUCGGAAGGCUGGCAGAAGGGGCGAAUGCUGAACAAGGGGAGUCAGCGUGAUGCAGAAACGCCGCGGGGGGGAUAACGGCCUUUGGGUUGGAAUUUCAUAUCGCUAGGAACCAAGGUUUUUGUGACGGUACCUAGAGAAGAAGCACCGGCUAACUACGUG
rnacentral:rRNA from 1 species